AUUGGCCGCAAACGAGAUUGCUUUGCCUUAAUAUGGAUCAUAAUGCAUACUGUCCCCCUUUUGGGUAUAAAGCAUCUGUAUAAAGCAGCGAAUCUCACAAGGGCCGCUACAGCGAAUAAAGUUAUUUCUACAGAAGGAGGGCAGACAUGCCUCGUUUGCUCAAGGAAACUUGGCUCACAGCAGUGUGACUGCUGCCAUGCAGAGAAGCGUAGUGACUGGUCCUUGGACAGCAAAGUGUUACAUUUGCAGUAUUUUAAUUCUCUUUAAAGAUUCAAAGGCAGUGUAGAAAUGCUGAGCAGAUGGCUGUUUGGGAAGGUUUGUAUGCGGUGGUCUCAGUAUCAGGGGAGGGCGGCUGUCCAAACCCCAGCCACUGAUCUAAUGGAUGAAGUGAGUCAUACCCACCUUCAACGCGAACACAACCAUCUCCAUCAAACACACAUGGGCCAACACAAUGAGCCACAUUCAUACAAUGUUUUUCUGGUCACCUCUUUUUGCUUGAGCGCUGUUUUCUACUACAGUACACUCACAUCUGCUUUCAAUACGUGCUCCUGUCUUUUCAUUAGGUCGACUCUUAACAGGCCAUUGGAGUCAAGCACCUGCUUUUCAAAAAUGCAGUAUUUCAACUGUUGCCAAAGCCAUUGUAUCUAAACGGAGGCUGUUGUACUGAGCAGCUGAGCUACUGUUUCUCCAUGACAACUGAGCAAACUCCAUCGAGGAAGGCUGUGGCAUGCGGUUUCAAGGUCCGGAAAAAGCUAAUGCACGGACAGUGUUCUUCCUCCAUCUGUUCUAUUGUCUUGGUGUUCUCUGAGAUGAGGAGCGGAUGCACCACCGAAGGAGACGCAGGAAAUACUCUUGACCCAGAACAACACAGCCAACUUCUUCUAGCCCUUUGCAUGGUGGCUUCAGAUGCAAGUACAUCUUGGUUCAGGUAGUCACUAUUGCAUAAUCAGUCAUUUCUCAAUCUUUUUUGUUGUUUUACAAGAUGGAGCAAUCAGUCUCCAUCACUGUGAUCCAAAAGGACAAACAUUGUUCCACACAAGAAUUCAGUCUUCAUUUGUUCCUUUUUCCUUUCACCUUUUUCAACAGUGUAGCAUGCUUGAUGUAGUGGAAAAUUCCUUGAGUUGUACAGUUGUCAGAGGACUAAUAAGGAGCAGGAAGGUCUUACGGGUGUACAUGUCAAGGUCUUUGUCAUCUUUAACAUGACUCCACAUAAACAGCAGUAGGCUCGCUUAAGACGGCCUGUCAGGCACACUCCAGAAAUAGACCUUCUGGUCGAGCAUUCAGAUUUACAAGGUAAAGCUAUAUAUUUUUAAACGGAAAAAAAUAAAAGUGAGCCCUGUAAAGAGAGAGGUAUAUUAUGCUAAAUAAAGAGCGUUGUGUGUAAA